UGGGGAAUAUUGGGGCAAUGGGGCGAAAGCCUGACCCAGCAACGCCGCGUGAGGGAAGAAGGCCUUCGGGUUGUAAACCUCUGUCCUUAGUGACGAAGGAAGUGACGGUAGCUAAGGAGGAAGCCCCGGCUAACUACGUGCCAGCAGCCGCGGUAAUACGUAGGGGGCGAGCGUUGUCCGGAAUUACUGGGCGUAAAGGGUGCGUAGGCGGUACUUUAAGUUGGAUGUGAAAUCCCCGGGCUUAACCUGGGGCCUGCAUCCAAUACUGGAGAACUAGAGUGCAGGAGAGGGAAGCGGAAUUCCUAGUGUAGCGGUGAAAUGCAUAGAUAUCGCGCAGAACUCCGAUUGCGAAGGCAGCUUUCCAUGUCGUGACUGACGCUGAGGCACGAAAGCGUGGGGAUCGAACAGGAUUAGAUACCCUGGUAGU
rnacentral:rRNA from 1 species